UCGGCAGCAGGGCGGAGCGCGGCGGAGGGCAGGCGCGGCACCGGCGGGGACACGGGGGUGUGCCGUGAGAGGCGCCUCGCCAGGCUGCGGGCAGGGAGGGAGAGGGGACCGCGCGGCCGGCGGCCACAAUCUGACAGGGGCGCACGGGAGGCCGCGCGGGGAGGGCCGGGGGCGGGCCGAGGCGGGCCCGGCGGCCAGAUGGCGGGGGCUGCGGCCUGACGAGCGCCGCGUCAUUCGCGUCAGCCGGCGCGCUGCGGUAGGCCCCGCCCCUCCGUCCCCGGCCGCCGCGUGGGAGGGGCGGGGCCUGCGGCCCGCCGCCGCCUCAGGGAAGAGGAAGAAGGCCGCCGCUUAGCGCCCCGCCUCUCGCUUGGCGGGCCUAAGAGCGGAGGGGGCGGGCCAAGGGGGUCUGGGGGCGGGCCAAGGGGGUCUGGACGCAGUCACUUGUCCUCCCGCUGUCUUCCCGAAUCUCCCAGGAAUGCUAAUGUCACCCGAGGUUGCUGAGAGAAACGCUGAGCCGACCUUUCCGUUAGGCUAAAGCUCUGAAUUUUCAAACCCAGGAAUCACAGGGUCCGGGUCAUCGACUUUGCUAAAUAAUGCCUGGAAACCUGUUGCAGUCUCCUUUGAGAAAGCUAGUUUUAUGGUACCUGAAGGGCACUGGCCAUACCAGGCCCCUAAACCGGGUCACGGAUGUGGGAGAGACUAACUAGGGUGGCUCUCACUCUUCUGGCCUUUCCCUGAGGCUCGGGACCAGGAACGAGGUUCCAAGUAGCUGGAUUGAAAGUAUUCUGAUCUGAGGACUGGCAGUGCACAAGAGUGUCCCCCGCCCCACCCCCACCCGUAUGCAGCAUAAGGAAAUGAAGAAAAGACUGCCCGGGUCAAUAAACCUGGACGUGGCAAAUUUCAAAGAAAGUAAUUCAAACACAGGUUGCACAAACCAUGAUAAUGGCCAGCAUGGAUGGAGGGAGCAUCUGAGAUGUGCAGGGCACUGUGCUACAUCUCAGCUAACUCUAGGAGUUCCUACAGCGGCGCUUUCAAGAACUAACUCGAGUCACCAUCCACCAGAUGCUGCUCCAACCUUACCCUGAACGAGUGCUAGAAGCGGACCUCUCCCCGAACAUCCAGGCUCCUUAGGAAAAGAAACCUCUUCAGAACCCCCCGUCGACCCUUGUCAACAGGAAGUAGCCAGAGAGACAACCGACGCCCCUGACCCCCUCUUUUCUUCUUUUCUUUUAAGGAGUCGGGAAUGUUUGGAAAACUCUGCCCCUACCGUGAAAGGUCUCUUUCCCUCCCCCACAAAGAGGCUCCCUUAUCUCUUACUCUACAUACCGCUCUAGCCUUCCCGCCCGGCCGCAGCCACCUCCCACCCAGCAACCGGUUGACCAAUCACCGCCCGCCUCAUUAGCUCUCCCCAACUUCCCGCCGCCCAGCUUCCCCGCCUCCCAGUUUCCCGCCGCCCAGCUUCCCCGCCUCCCAGUUUCCCGCCGCCCAGCUUCCCCACCCAGUGGUUCAAACUGAUCAACCGUUGCCCGCCACCUUGGCUCUCUCAGCUCCCCACUCCCUCAUCCCUUCAGCCCCCUAUAAAAGAACCCUGCACCUCUGAGCGGCACGGCCAUUUUCCUCUCCUUCCUGGCUGGUCCGCCCGGAGGCUCUUUCCUCUCAAUAAAGCCUGAACUUAAAGAUUUUCUUCUAACCUG
rnacentral:lncRNA from 13 species